AGGGUUUCACCAUGUUGGCCAGGCUGGUCUGGAACUCCUGACCUCAGGUGAUCCACACACCUUAGCCUCCCAAAGUGCUAGGAUUACAGGAGUGACCCACUGCAUCCGGCCUUUUCACAGUGAAUUUGGAGGAGCUAGCCACUGACAGGAAGGAGGAAGGCGCUCCAUACAGCAAAUGAAAUUCAGAACUCUGGCCAGCCCAUCGAGAAGAGGGUAACAGGCCUGCUGGGACAAGUUGAGAGAAGACGAAUGAAGUGAGGACGCUGCACACCAUAAUCUGAAAUAGUCCUAGCGGUGGAAAAGAAGCAGCCUGCAGACGAGGCGGGCAGUGGGAAGGUGCGCCUGCAGGAGGGAGCACCUUAUGGGGCUGGGCAACUCACUGAGAAAUGAUUCUGUCAUAGACAUGUGUGUAUUUCUUCUGAUAGUUAUGCUCUGGAUCAUCAGAAAAAUACAAAGGCAUAGCCACAAUUCAUACUAGUGGAGAGACCUCAACAGAGAUGGACCCACCCAAGCCUAGCUUGGAACUUGGACUCGGAUGGAACUUGGACUGCACAGACUGUGUGGCCCCACCCACUGGGGUUGAGGCUUCAAUAUAUGAAUUUCAGGGGGACACAUUUCAACCCAUAACUGCUUAAGAUGAGGCUCACAGGCUGGACUGAGGACUCCUCUCAGGGUGCAGCACAUAGGAAACCAUUUUAUUAUUAUUAUUAUUAUUAUUAUUAUUAUUACUACUAUUAUUAUUAUUAGAGUCAGAGUCUUGCCUGUCACCCAGGCUGGAGGGCAGUGGCAAGACCAUGGCUCACCAUUACCUCAAACUCUUGGGCUCAAGUGAUCUUCCUACUUCAGUGUCCCAAGUAGCUGGGAUUACAGGCGUGAGCCACCGUGACUGGCUGUUUUAUUUUCUUUUAGAGAAGAGAAUCUCACUAUGUUGUCCAGGCCUCAAGUGAUCCUCCCACCUCUGCCUCCCAAAUUCCUGAGAUUACAGGCAUCUCAACAUUACGCCUGGCUCAUGACUUUUCUAAUUGAGUAAGCAUCAAUAAAGUGAACUUGUGGAAAGACGCAAGCCUGUGUAGACCUGGCUAUGUCUGAUCUUGUGCUGCUGAUGACACCUCACAGGAAGUGAAAAUGGCCAACACCUUGAUCUCAGACUUCUAGGCC
rnacentral:lncRNA from 10 species